GACGAACGCUGGCGGCGUGCUUAACACAUGCAAGUCGAACGGAAAGGCCCUGCUUUUGUGGGGUGCUCGAGUGGCGAACGGGUGAGUAACACGUGAGUAACCUGCCCUUGACUUUGGGAUAACUUCAGGAAACUGGGGCUAAUACCGGAUAGGAGCUCCUGCUGCAUGGUGGGGGUUGGAAAGUUUCGGCGGUUGGGGAUGGACUCGCGGCUUAUCAGCUUGUUGGUGGGGUAGUGGCUUACCAAGGCUUUGACGGGUAGCCGGCCUGAGAGGGUGACCGGCCACAUUGGGACUGAGAUACGUCCCAGACUCCUACGGGAGGCAGCAGUGGGGAAUAGUGCACAAUGGGCGGAAGCCUGAUGCAGCAACGCCGCGUGCGGGAUGACGGCCUUCGGGUUGUAAACCGCUUUCGCCUGUGACGAAGCGUGAGUGACGGUAAUGGGUAAAGAAGCACCGGCUAACUACGUG
rnacentral:rRNA from 1 species